ACGGUAGCCAAAAAAGAGGAAGAAAAUUCAGCUAAAAAUAGAGAAAAAAUAACGUAUUACUUUUGAUGGAUUUUUUGAUAAAUCAGAUAGCUUAUGACCAUACACAAAGGCAUGAAAAGAAAGAGAAGAAAGAAAGGAAGAGAGAUCGGGGCUUACCUCAGGCUCCGAUGAUGUCUCCAGUGAUAAUUUUAGACGGAUAUGAUGAGGGUAGUCUACGAUUUUAAUAGAAAAAAAGAGGAAGAAAGAAGAGAGAGGAGGAUCGGAUUCAUUGUGGAUUGCUUUAGAUGG
rnacentral:lncRNA from 1 species